rnacentral:rRNA from 1 species
UACGUAGGUGACAAGCGUUGUCCGGAUUUACUGGGCGUAAAGAGCGCGCAGGCGGUCGUUCAAGUCGAGUGUGAAAGCCCCCGGCUCAACUGGGGAGGGUCACUCGAUACUGAUCGACUUGAGGCCAGUAGGGGGAUGCGGAAUUCCGGGUGUAGUGGUGGAAUGCGUAGAGAUCCGGAGGAACACCAGCGGCGAAGGCGGCAUCCUGGACUGGUCCUGACGCUCAGGAGCGAAAGCGUGGGGAGCGAUCCGG